GAUGAACGCUGGUGGCGUGCUUAACACAUGCAAGUCGAACGGAAAGGCUCCUGCUUGCAGGGGUACUCGAGUGGCGAACGGGUGAGUAACACGUGGGUGAUCUGCCCAGCACUUCGGGAUAAGCCUGGGAAACUGGGUCUAAUACCGGAUAGGACGAUGGUUUGGAUGCCAUUGUGGAAAGUUUUUUCGGUGUGGGAUGAGCUCGCGGCCUAUCAGCUUGUUGGUGGGGUAAUGGCCUACCAAGGCGUCGACGGGUAGCCGGCCUGAGAGGGUGUACGGCCACAUUGGGACUGAGAUACGGCCCAGACUCCUACGGGAGGCAGCAGUGGGGAAUAUUGCACAAUGGGCGCAAGCCUGAUGCAGCGACGCCGCGUGGGGGAUGACGGCCUUCGGGUUGUAAACUCCUUUCGCUAGGGACGAAGCGCAAGUGACGGUACCUGGAGAAGAAGCACCGGCUAACUACGUG
rnacentral:rRNA from 1 species